GCCGCUCGUAGUCUGGCCCCGUGAGUCGCCCUCGUGGCAUAGGAUCCUCAGCCCCAUCACCAAACACCCGAUGCCGCCAGCACCAUGCACGCCCCUGUCACCGCCAGCAUGGCUGGGGAGAGGGGCCGCCUCAGCCGAGCCCCCAGCAAGCCUCUCCAGGUCCCGGAGCAGUAGUCACCUGUACAGAGACAGAGGACAGCUGAAACCCAGCCCAGGUAGAACGACCAGGAGAAGAAGGUCUGGAUCUGAGGGUGUUGAGGCUGGUUCCACCGCUCGCUGGUAUAGACCGCCAUGGCCACCACAGCAAAAAUGGCUGGGGAUGAAGAUGAGAGAGGGCUCAGACCCUCUGCAGAAACUCACCAGUCCCCAGAGCCCAAGUGCAGCCCGGAGCCUACCUGCAGCAAAAGCCAUGAUAGAGGAGGAGAGGGGCCCGUAGCCUCGAAUGGACAGUGAGGGGACGUAGGACAAGAUCAGGAAGAUCACCGACACCAGCGCCGACAGUGCAGCCAGAAUGCUGAGGCUCUGCGUCGCGCGGAUGUAGCCUGCCCCGAGGUCCUAGACAGAGCCUCACCUCACCGAUGAGCAGGAAGAAGGCGAAGGUGUCGCAGCCCAGGUGGAAGGUGCAGGCUCAUGUGACUUCCAAACCAAGGGAAUGGCCUAGAAGAAGACCUCUGUCACAAAGAUGACACGAGCCAGCAGUCCCACAGCAGCCGGUAAAGGGGAGACUCAGAGGGACUCAAGAGGCCAGGGCCUCUUCCAUUACUGGAAUCUCCAGUUUGCAGGCCCCCCAUCUCUCACCCAGACCCUCACCACCAAGGUAACUGGCCAGUCCUGAGCACGUGCUCACGAAUGCAGGCUUUCAGGGGCAGAUUCGGGUCAUAAGGAGCAGGGGCACCGACGCAAAAAUGGCGGUAUGUGUACCUCUAGUGGAGAGCAGUGGACAGGCUUCAGGAAUCCCGGCCAAGGGAGUGUCAGAGCCCAGAGGUCACCUGCAAUCUCUACCCCAUCCUUAACUCCACCCCUGUCCUCCAACACAACCCCAGUAUCAUCCCCAGACCUAACCCCAAACUCAGCCCCAUCCCUAACCUCAUCUCCAAACCAAACCCAACCCUGUCCAUAACCCAGCUCUACCCACAAAUUCAACCCCGUCCUGAUUCCUAAACCAAACCCUAUUUUCAUUGCCAAGACCGGCUCUAAACCCAGUCCCAUCCCCAACCCCCAAUACAACCCACUCCUUAACCCCAGCUCCAGCCUCUAAUUUAACCCCAUCCUCCAAACUAACCUGACCUCCAUCCUCUUAUUCACAAACUCAGCCCCAACCCCAUGUCCAAAUCCAAGUUCAGCCCCAAACACAAACCCAUCCUCAUUCUGAGACUUAAUGCUAACCUUGUUUGGAACUUCACACCAGAUCACACUUCCAGCGCCACCCCAACCUUCCUCCUGCUCUGUCCCACCCUUUAUAAUUCCGACCUCAGCCCUACUCAUAUUCAUCUCAAUCCCACCUAUUUCAUCCCCCCCCCCCCACACACACACACUGUAGAGAAUGGACUAUGGAGGCAGGCGGGGGGUGGGGGACAGGAGGAGGGGCAGAGCUGGUUAGGAGACUGAGGCCAUAAGCCAGGUGAAACAAGAUAUGAGUCCUAACUGGGUGAUCAAGGAACCUGGACACAGUUUUAAGGUAGAGCCAAUGCCGCUUGCCAGUGAAUCAGGUGUGGGACGCAGUAAAGCAGCUGCUGAUGAUCCCAGGACUCUUGGCAGGAGCAGCUGGAUGACAAUGAGGCAAGAUGGGGAGAUAUGGGAGGAGUUGGUAUGGGAUGUGGGAGAGACCAGGACACCUGAGAUUUGAGAUGCCUCUUCUUUUCAAGUGGACACUGGAGAUGAGUCUGGAAUUACCACAUCAUUAUUAUUGCUAGAAUAAACUCCUAUAAAUAUGAUUCCUGGAAUAAGCCUCAAUAAAUAUGUCUCCUUAAA